GGUGCUUCUACCAAACGUCUGUUGGCACGGUAACAGGUGCUGAUAGUUAAGGCUCUGACUGACACCCUUUUUAAAAUGAGCAGCGAACAGUCUGUGCACGCUGGACAUCCCGCAGGAUUUAUAAGAGUGCUGUGUGGAAACCCAAGUCUGCGACACCAGGGCCUUGUCUAAGUUUAGUGCCGUUUACCUGUUAAACUGACAGAAAAGUCUGCUGCACGAGAUCUCAAGUUUGUCGGCUGCUUCACUGCUGCGCUGGAGUGGAGGGCUGCUGUGAGAUCCCCCGCUUCUGCGUUCCGCUGCUGUGAGAUCCCCCGCUUUUGCGUUCUGUUGCUGUGAGAUCCCUCGAUUCUGCGUUCCGCUGCUGUGAGAUGCCCAUGAAAGAUAAUAUCCGAGUCGUCCGACGGCUGAGGGAAGCGGCGUGGCACACGGUCUGGGAGCUAGGUUCGUCUGCUCCCAGUUCAAUGCCAGUUGUUGGUCAAGCGAAGCUGGAGAGGAGCAUCAUCAUCAAGAAGUUCAUCGGGGAUUUAAAGAUCAGAGCCAUUCACGUUCGUUCUAGCCGUGCGUCGUUAAGAAUAAACCACGGAUUCAUGGUUCAAUGUUCAUCCUUUACACGGAUCAUUGUAUCCAGUGGCGGUGCCAGACAUUUUUUUCUGCAGCUAAGGUAACCCAGGGUACUGUGACAAAGCCCGCUACUCCCCGCUGACCGUCGGAGGUCCACCCCGUCCUAAGUCCCUCCGCCAAAGCUAAGUAGCCUCAGUAGGAUAGCCACACUAUUAAAUCCUCUCCCUGCCUCUUUACUGUCAAGUGUUUUGCUAACCCCAGUGCCUCUAUCUCUCUCCCUGGACAGGUGCAGUGAGUUUCACUUGAGCGACAGGCUGACCCCCAGGUGGUGGAGCCCACCCCCUCACUUUUCCUUGCUGUGUGCAUAACGGUUGCCCUAUUUUGGAGUGCAGUGCUUACUGGUUUUAUGCAUGUGUGGUGUGUGUCUUCUGGGCCUCUCCUGUCCCCCUCUUGGAAAGUCCUGCUCGCUGCGGGUGACUACCUAGGUGGCGUAGUCGACAAUUAAAACUAUCCUAGUAAACUACCUCGCCACUGUCACACAUAUAAAAGACAAAGACUGUGUGGCUCUGGAGGUGCAGUACCACGAAGGCUGUUAUAAUCAGUACAUCAGGUUUUUGACAAGGCCUGAAAAACCAGAGAAAGAACAGAAUGAGCCCACGUUUGAUGUCAGCUAUAAGAUAUUCUGUGAGAGGAUCAUUCGCCAAAGGCUGCUUGUCAACCAAGAGGUGCUGAGAAUGGGCCAGCUGAGGAAGGCCUUCAUUGAACUGGUGAAAGCAAAUGAAGGUCUUGAUGUUUCAAACUACAGACAGGAUAUGUUGAAGAAGAGGCUGACUCGUGAUUUCCCCCAGCUGGUGUUUCACAUGCCCUUGGUGCGCAACAUCUGCAAGCUGGUUUUUACAGAGACCCUGUCAGAACUUGGGUCAACAAGUGCAGGCAGCAACAUGCAGAAUGGACACCCACUUUGCUGCACAAGCUGAAUUGGCAUAUGUUUUUGUGAAGUCCACAGAUACGGAUAGAUGUGCAAUCCCAAGCUGGACAGGUUUCCAUACACUGCUUCUAUGGGGCGCCGUUUGUAAAAUGUUGCACGUUCGAAAAUCCUGCUCAGUUUUGCUACAUUUAGCAUUUUCAUAUGGAACAAAAAGCACGACAAUAUUCGAAUGUCACUUUUUCAAGCAUUUAG
ensembl:lncRNA